rnacentral:tRNA from 1 species
UGCUUGGGUAGCUCAGUUGGUAGAGCACUUGCCCGGGAAAGGCAAAGGUCCCGAGUUCGAGUCUCGGUCCGGCAU